rnacentral:rRNA from 1 species
UACGUAGGGGGCUAGCGUUGUCCGGAAUUAUUGGGCGUAAAGCGUGCGUAGGCGGCUGCGCAAGUCGGUUGUGAAACCCCGGGGCUCAACCCCGGAACUGCAUCCGAUACUGCGUGGCUAGAGGUAGGUAGGGGAGAUCGGAAUUCCUGGUGUAGCGGUGAAAUGCGCAGAUAUCAGGAGGAACACCGGUGGCGAAGGCGGAUCUCUGGGCCUUACCUGACGCUCAGGCACGAAAGCUAGGGGAGCGAACAGG